ensembl:lncRNA
GGUACAACGGGUCCCUGACGACCCCACCGUGUUUCCAGACGGUCAGCUGGACUGUGUUUAAUGACUCCAUCAGAGUCUCAAGAAGACAGGUCAGACUAUUCUCACAAGAGCAUCAUGUCAUUUAUAGCACUCGCUGAUCUAAAUCAGUCUUGUUUUUCUUUUAUUAGCUGGCGGCCUUGGAGGACACAUUGAAAACUGAACACAACAUGCUUUUGUCCAAAAACUUCAGAGCACCACAACUUCUGCACGGGAGAAAAGUGCUGGCAUCUUUCCACACAGAAUCCACUACAGGAGAAGCCAGAGAAGCUCCAGCACCUGAAACACAAGACAACAAAAUAAUGGAAUCUAGUGGACACAUUCUGGCGGUUAUCUUUGGGGUUCUGUUUGCCGUCACAUUGCUGGUCUUUUCCACGUACACAUAUCGACAGCAGAAAAAGUACUCAAAGUACGUUCAUAUCCAUCUCUGAUUCAUCACUACUUUGACUUAAG